rnacentral:rRNA from 1 species
AUUGAACGCUGGCGGCAGGCCUAACACAUGCAAGUCGAGCGGAUGAGAGGAGCUUGCUUCUUGAUUCAGCGGCGGACGGGUGAGUAAUGCCUAGGAAUCUGCCUGGUAGUGGGGGACAACGUUUCGAAAGGAACGCUAAUACCGCAUACGUCCUACGGGAGAAAGCAGGGGACCUUCGGGCCUUGCGCUAUCAGAUGAGCCUAGGUCGGAUUAGCUAGUUGGUGAGGUAAUGGCUCACCAAGGCGACGAUCCGUAACUGGUCUGAGAGGAGGAUCAGGCACACUGGAACUGAGACACAGUCCAGACUCCUACGGGAGGCAGCAGUGGGGAAUAUUGGACAAUGGGCGAAAGCCUGAUCCAGCCAUGCCGCGUGUGUGAAGAAGGUCUUCGGAUUGUAAAGCACUUUAAGUUGGGAGGAAGGGUUGUACGUUAAUACCGUGCAAUUUUGACGUUACCGACAGAAUAAGCACCGGCUAACUCUGUGCCAGCCGCCGCCGUAA